rnacentral:rRNA from 1 species
GGGCCCGCACAAGCAGUGGAGUAUGUGGUUUAAUUCGAAGCAACGCGAAGAACCUUACCAGGUCUUGACAUCCAACUAACGAAGUAGAGAUACAUUAGGUGCCCUUCGGGGAAAGUUGAGACAGGUGGUGCAUGGUUGUCGUCAGCUCGUGUCGUGAGAUGUUGGGUUAAGUCCCGCAACGAGCGCAACCCUUGUCACUAGUUGCUACGCAAGAGCACUCUAGUGAGACUGCCGUUGACAAAACGGAGGAAGGUGGGGACGACGUCAAAUCAUCAUGCCCCUUAUGACCUGGGCUACACACGUACUACAAUGGUCGUUAACAGAGGGAAGCAAUACCGCGAGGUGGAGCAAACCCCUAAAAACGAUCCCAGUUCAGAUUGUAGGCUGCAACUCGCCUAUAUGAAGUUGGAAUUGCUAGUAAUCGCGGAUCAGCAUGCCGCGGUGAAUACGUUCCCGGGCCUU